GCUUGGGUGGUGAAAUGGUAUCACGUCACGUUGUGGGCUUCACGAUUGGUUUAAUAUCAAUCUUCGAAGGACUGCCGUGAUGUUCAGAGUUCGAUUCUCUGCCCAAGCA